CAGUCGAGCGAAUGGAUUAAGAGCUUGCUCUUAUGAAGUUAGCGGCGGACGGGUGAGUAACACGUGGGUAACCUGCCCAUAAGACUGGGAUAACUCCGGGAAACCGGGGCUAAUACCGGAUAACAUUUUGAACCGCAUGGUUCGAAAUUGAAAGGCGGCUUCGGCUGUCACUUAUGGAUGGACCCGCGUCGCAUUAGCUAGUUGGUGAGGUAACGGCUCACCAAGGCAACGAUGCGUAGCCGACCUGAGAGGGUGAUCGGCCACACUGGGACUGAGACACGGCCCAGACUCCUACGGGAGGCAGCAGUAGGGAAUCUUCCGCAAUGGACGAAAGUCUGACGGAGCAACGCCGCGUGAGUGAUGAAGGCUUUCGGGUCGUAAAACUCUGUUGUUAGGGAAGAACAAGUGCUAGUUGAAUAAGCUGGCACCUUGACGGUACCUAACCAGAAAGCCACGGCUAACUACGUGCCAGCAGCCGCGGUAAUACGUAGGUGGCAAGCGUUAUCCGGAAUUAUUGGGCGUAAAGCGCGCGCAGGUGGUUUCUUAAGUCUGAUGUGAAAGCCCACGGCUCAACCGUGGAGGGUCAUUGGAAACUGGGAGACUUGAGUGCAGAAGAGGAAAGUGGAAUUCCAUGUGUAGCGGUGAAAUGCGUAGAGAUAUGGAGGAACACCAGUGGCGAAGGCGACUUUCUGGUCUGUAACUGACACUGAGGCGCGAAAGCGUGGGGAGCAAACAGG
rnacentral:rRNA from 1 species